GUCGAACGGCAGCGCGGGAGCAAUCCUGGCGGCGAGUGGCGAACGGGUGAGUAAUACAUCGGAACGUGCCCAAUCGUGGGGGAUAACGCAGCGAAAGCUGUGCUAAUACCGCAUACGAUCUACGGAUGAAAGCAGGGGAUCGCAAGACCUUGCGCGAAUGGAGCGGCCGAUGGCAGAUUAGGUAGUUGGUGAGGUAAAGGCUCACCAAGCCUUCGAUCUGUAGCUGGUCUGAGAGGACGACCAGCCACACUGGGACUGAGACACGGCCCAGACUCCUACGGGAGGCAGCAGUGGGGAAUUUUGGACAAUGGGCGAAAGCCUGAUCCAGCCAUGCCGCGUGCAGGAUGAAGGCCUUCGGGUUGUAAACUGCUUUUGUACGGAACGAAACGGCCUUUUCUAAUAAAGAGGGCUAAUGACGGUACCGUAAGAAUAAGCACCGGCUAACUACGUGCCAGCAGCCGCGGUAAUACGUAGGGUGCAAGCGUUAAUCGGAAUUACUGGGCGUAAAGCGUGCGCAGGCGGUUAUGUAAGACAGUUGUGAAAUCCCCGGGCUCAACCUGGGAACUGCAUCUGUGACUGCAUAGCUAGAGUACGGUAGAGGGGGAUGGAAUUCCGCGUGUAGCAGUGAAAUGCGUAGAUAUGCGGAGGAACACCGAUGGCGAAGGCAAUCCCCUGGACCUGUACUGACGCUCAUGCACGA
rnacentral:rRNA from 1 species